CUAGGAAUUAAAAACUCAGAGGCUUUCGAAAAGCAUUUGGAACAUUUGUUGCCCCAAGGGACUCCUUGGUUCGCGUACAUACAAUAUUCGAAAGGCAGUAUAAUAGAAGAGUUAAUCUGGCCGCGGUGAAACUGCAGUGCAGAGCUGCAUCGAGAUCAGUCAUCACUCAUUCACUGACAUCACUCAAUAGUCAAUGCAUGUGAUGUGUACUGUUAGUGUUUAGCUCCUUGGUAUAUUUUGUCUGAUCUGCAUGCAGGGUAUGCUGGGUGAAUCUGAGCACGGUACCAUAAUUUGCUUGAUGUAUAGCAUCUCCGACCAAACAAGAGAAGCAACGAUUUAGAAUUACGAAACUUAUACAUACUUGACGGCUGAGUGGAAGAACAAACGAUCGACAGUAAUGGCUCAUCGGCAUGGACAAAUCAUCAGUAUCAGACAAUAUACAUCACUACCUGAUCACCUGAGUACCGUUUUAGUUAAACAGUUCGAGAGAAUAAUUUAGAAUAAAGAAUAUAUACUACAUUGGAGAGUACAUGCAUUGAGAUGCCUCAUGGACUGUAAAGGCUCUUUACAUUGGACAGUCAGGACUUCAGACAUUCUCUUGCAUCCUGAAAACCAAGUUUAUCAGUGAACUUGUUCAGGAUACGACUAUCCCACCAACACUACGAAAGUCUCACUAGACAGUCCUUGAACGAGAAGAGGGAUUGUAUUCUAGAUCGAAUGGCGUAUACGUUAGAUAAUUAUAAAGUAUUUUAUUUCGGAUUUUGGACCGUGGGAUGACGGAAUAAAGUUCCACAUAAGCCACACUAAAGUCUGUGAAUACAUUUCUUUUGGAGUGAGAGUAUUUGUUAGCCGAAACUCCGUCCGUUUAUCAAGGAUAAAAGGCGGCAGCCACACUUCGUUUUCAGUUUUUACCAGAGUUUUCUCAGUUUACUCUUCAGAACUGCAAAGACUCGAUGGUGGAUUGAAAGAACCAACGGUCGACGGAUUACAACUACGGCUGUUUGGCAUGGGCAAAUCAGAAUUAAACAAUAUGAAUCAGUAUAUGCACCACCUCCUGAUCACCUUAGUUGAACAUGAAAAUUUCAGAAUAAAGAAUAACUACAUUGGAGUGUACAUGCGUUUGAAUGCAUCGAUGAAUGAAAAUCACUGUGAACUAUAAAGGCUUCUUUACAUUGGAUAGUCAGGAAUCAUACCUUCUCUUGCAUCCAUAAAACCAAGUUUAUAUCAGUGAACUUGUGAAUCUAGCAGAAGAAGAAGAGUUUCGUAACCCCUCCUGGAACCUUUUUUAAUUUCAUUUGACAUCGUUAUAUCGUAUGCUGUUGAUUGCUCGCCCUUUUUAUUUUUAGAAGAACAAAACUUGUAUGAAAUCUUGGUUAUUCUUUCGACGUUUAUAUCUACUUUGUAUGUGCUACUGUUUUAGACAUACUAUGGAUGGGGAUCGCCAAGCGAGUGCAGUGCACACAGCUGUAAAUGAAUAUUUGCCUCAUACAAUUGAAAUCGAUGUUCCAAACAUCUUUUUGUUCAAUUUGAUGAUGAAAAUCAAGGGAAUUUUGAGCGAUGAGAAUGUCCACAAAAGUUUUGUUUGCAUACUCGAUCGGUAUCAUAUACCAGAAGAUAAGGUAGAUUUUGGUAAUAUUCACCUAUUGAAAUGGAAACUUAAGUAUACAUGGAGACAAUGGAAAAAUACCCAAAGUGGGUACAGACGUAAUAAAUUGCUUAAGAAAUAUAACACCUCAACUUACUCAAUGAAAAUCAAUUUCAAGCCUGACUGUCAGUUUCCGAUAAGGAGAAUUGAUGAAAAUUAUAGGCCCACGACAGCCCAAAACAGUCCAGUGCACACAACUGAUAAUGAUGGCGAUUCGCCUCAUACAAUUGAAAUUGAUGUACCAAACAUCAUUUUAUUCAACUUGGUAAGAGAAACCAAGGGAUGUAUCAACGAUGAGAAUGUCCACAAAUGUUUUGCUUCCAUACUCCGUCGAUAUCAUAUACCAGAAGAUAAGGUAGAUUUUGGUAAUAUUCACCUAUUGAAAUGGAAACUUAAGUAUACAUGGAGACAAUGGAAAAAUACCAAAAGUGGGUACAGACGUAAUAAAUUGCUUCAGAAAUAUAACACCUCAACUUACUCAAUGAAAAUAGAUUUCAAGCCUGACUGUCAGUUUCCGAUAAGGAGAAUUGAUGAAAAUUAUAGGCCCACGACAGCCCAAAACAGUCGGAAAAAGUUGGAGUGGGAGAGAUAGUCAUUUUGUAAGAUUAUUUCUGUGAAUAAUAGGCCUAUGUUUCCUUUAACUCCUUAGUCCUA